rnacentral:misc_RNA from 1 species
CGGUCAUCUGCGAUCAAAAGAGCAAGUUGACGGCCGCAUUGACAUCCAAACGUCAACCGUUUAUACAUAAACAGACGGACUGAAUGAGAACUUUCCUUAGAGGCAGUAAUGCGGCGCAUAGUAAGAGAACCCAUCCAAAUACCACACACGUUUAGACAGCCAAAACCCACACAAGACACCACCGACCGGCGUACGAUGAGGAGAAAUCAGCUGCGGUUUUCAAUUUCUCGCGACAUUGAAAACGAAUCUCCUUUUAUGCCUGUGCCAAAACGGUAGAAUAUUCGUCUAAAUAUAUAUACCAGCAGCAGCACAAGCCAACGACGAUGUUACACCAAAGGCACUUGACCCAUUCAAACGUCAACGCGCGCCAUCUGUUCGCCGCUGUGGAAUGUGUCUGCGACGACGAAUAAAUAUAUAAGAGACGGUGAAUAUCCACACAUGGCCACACGGGACACACACACAUGGCCGCAACGGACAAAGGAGCAUUAUCAGACGGCAGAGGAGAAGAAAAAAGAAGAAGUGUUUGUGUGCAGACAUCAACGGAGAUGAAGUCUAUUCCAGUUGUGUUUAUGUGGCGCAGCAGCAGUGGCCGUGCGUGUGUGUCACAAGAGGAGCGAUGGUGGGGGCCGAUGCGAUAAUGCGACGAGCAUCAUCAUUCAGCAUCAGCUGGAGCGGCGCGUCGGUGGCAUCGACCUAUCACAUCAUCACUUGCUCGUGUCGGGCUGCCGAUUGGUCGACGGCCAAACCCCUCCCAUGCCAGUCCCGUGCCCACCUACCGUCCGUCACCUUCCCCCCACCACCGCAGCUCAUUUCCUCCUCCCUGUGCCGGCCCCGCCCCAUUCUCUAAUCUUUUCUCCCCACCACCACCUCCUUUCCCUCCCUCUUUUCUUCUAAGGCAAACCUUACCACCUAUUCCCAAAGUCGCCCGGAGUUGGUCCCGCGGACGGCUCCAGCUCAGCAGUCUCGGCUGCCUCAGUAGCCGUGUCAGUUCUGCACGUCGUUCAAUCCCGCUCCCGUUUUUUGGUUUUCUUUUGUUUUUCGUUUUCACUCCAGCCAGAAUUUUGGGUCGCAGUUUUCCAUUCAACUUUCGACACCUUCGCUCGCAUUUGCCGUUUACAAUUCGGCCAGAUUUAUCGAUCCUUUGGUUUUCGUGUUUCGUUGCAUGUGACGAUCGUUUUAUUGAAAUUGAAUUUGCAAGUGAAAAAGACACGACGAAUUCCCCCCCGCAAAAAUCUUGAGAUUACAAGAUGCUGCCGGUGAGUGCCAGUGAUGAUGUUGGUGGCAACGCCAUUCAACAGCAACCACUACAACAACAACAACAGUUUAUCCAUGGCCAGCACUCGAGGUCAAAGGGUAAUUUCUCCAUCGCCGCCAUCAUGGGACAUCACGUGACUCACGAAUCCCGACCCUUUGCCAUGGAAGAGCUUUCGCCGUCGCCUUCCAGAAGCAUCCGCCGCUCCUCCGUCGAUCCAUCGCCAGAUUCAGACAGAGCCAUGAAGGAGGACACGGUGGAGGAGGAAGACGUCGAGUCUUCGCUGACGGAUCACGAAAUCGACGUCGAGGACAUUGACGACGACGGGCCACUUCACCUGACGGGCAAAAGUGGUGGCGCCGUCCAUCUGCAGCGUCACCGCCACCAGGGGAGCCAUUCGACUCUGCGCUCGUUCAAAGAGGAAGACGACGACGAGGAAGAUGAAGUGCUGGACAAAGAAGAGAUGGUGGACGAGGAGGACGUCGGCGGGCCGCCGGUGGGUGCAGUCAAGUCGAAGAAAAAGUCUGGCAAGAAAUCUGGUGGUAAAUCGAGCGGAAGCGGCUCGAGCGGCUCCUCGUCCAGCUCCAAUCCGCAAAUCAAACCCAAGUGCAACUGCGAGCAGCUGCAACUCGUCGACUGCCACCUGGAGACCAAGGAAUUGUGGGAUAAGUUCAACGAAUUGGGCACCGAGAUGAUCAUCACCAAAACCGGCAGGCGAAUGUUUCCGACGGUUCGAGUCACAUUCUCCGGGGCGGUGCUGAUGGCCGAGAGUUCGCAGCUCCAGCAGCAGCAGCAACGCACUGCCAGUGAUUUACUGAUGACGCAUCCGCACCAUCCGCUGGCCUACCACCACCACCACCACCUCCAGCACAACAACAACUUGCAUUUGCAGCAUCAUCAGACUCUUGGCCAGCAGCAGAGCCGAGUGCGCUAUUUCGUCAUGCUGGACGUUGUGCCGGUGGAUAGCAAACGCUACCGCUACGCCUACCAUCGCUCUUCGUGGCUGGUGGCCGGUAAAGCCGACCCGCCGGCCCCGGCCCGUCUCUACACUCAUCCCGACUCGCCGUUCACUCCCGAUCAACUCCGCAAGCAAGUCAUCUCUUUCGAGAAAGUCAAAUUAACCAACAACGAGAUGGACAAACAAGGACAGAUUGUGUUGAAUUCGAUGCAUCGGUACCAACCGCGAGUGCACCUCGUCCGGCGGAUGGAAGGCGACACGACUCGGCCGAUCGUCGACUUGGAGCGUGAACAAUUCCGUACCUACGUCUUCCCCGAAACGGUUUUCACCGCCGUGACUGCCUAUCAAAACCAGCUGAUAACCAAACUCAAAAUUGACAGCAACCCGUUCGCCAAGGGAUUUCGCGAUUCUUCCAGACUCAGCGAUUUCGACCGGGACGGAAUGGACGGCAUGGCGGAUUACAUUCGAGCGCCGUCGCGGAUGUUUCCAGACGUGUCGGACUUCGAAGCGGCCACUGGAUUCCUCAACAGCGAAAAAAUGCGAAGCCUCGGCCUCCACCAUCCGCACAAUCAGCAUCCGUUCGGGGGGCCUAUCCACCCGCAACAUUCGAACAAUCCUCGGCUGCCGCCCAUGCCACUGGCCACCAUCCAGCAGCACUUGUUCGCCAUCCAGCAGCGCACCAACAGUUACCCGAUGAUGCCGUCACCGUCGGCCACUUCCGGAUUACCUGCCAACGGUGGCGGAGGUAAUAAUAAUAACAAUCAGCAGCAGCAGCAGAUGCUGCCAAUCCCGUUCCCGCACCAUUUGCUGUCGCAGUGGACGCUGGCCGCCGCUGCCGGAUUCGGUUUGAAUCAUCUGGGGCUCUUUGGACUUGGAGGUUUACCCGGUGCCGGAUUGACUGGCCUACAGCAGCAGCAGCAGUCGCAGUCGAGCGUGAAUGCAAGUGCGUCGGUCUCGCCUUCACAGUCGACUCGACAGCCAAGUCCAAUGACCACCACCACCAGCACGCCGCCUUCGGUUACGGCGACUGUCACGGGUUCGUCCGUCGCUCACCUGCCUUGCCUGUCCGGCGAGAGGGCUGAGACAGCAUCCAACAGCAUCUUGAAGGGUCACAACCCAUCUCACUCCCGCCACCGAUUCAGUCCCUAUCCGCCGGCCAUCGCCAGCAGUAAGACUCAUGGCAGCAGCAGCAGCAACUCGGAUGCUGCUGACCCGUCGGAACGCUCACCUGCUCCGGCCGGUUCUAAACUGAUUUUCGAUAAAUGAACGGGACAUGGGCGACAUUACAAAUUCAUAUCACAGAUGAACAAACAAGCUGACAUUCGUCUUCUGCAGCAGAACAUAACGUCACCUGACGCACAUGUGUGGAUUGUCGAUCGUCUUUUCUCGACCCAGCCGCUUGUGCUCGUCAUUGAAUUUUUCUUUUGAUUUUUUUUUUUCUCGUC